rnacentral:rRNA from 1 species
CGGACGGGUGAGUAAUGUCUGGGAAACUGCCUGAUGGAGGGGGAUAACUACUGGAAACGGUAGCUAAUACCGCAUAAUGUCGCAAGACCAAAGAGGGGGGACCUUCGGGCCUCUUGCCAUCGGAUGUGCCCAGAUGGGAUUAGCUAGUAGGUGGGGUAACGGCUCACCUAGGCGACGAUCCCUAGCUGGUCUGAGAGGAUGACCAGCCACACUGGAACUGAGACACGGUCCAGACUCCUACGGGAGGCAGCAUG